rnacentral:rRNA from 1 species
AUUGAACGCUGGCGGCAGGCCUAACACAUGCCAGUCGAGCGGAUGAAGGGAGCUUCCUCCUGUAUUCAACGGCGGACGGGUGAGUAAUGCCUAGGAAUCUGCCUUGUAGUGGGGGAUAACGUCCGUAAACGGGCGCUAAUACCGCAUACGUCCUGAGGGACAAAGUGGGGGAUCUUCGGACCUCACUCUAUCAGAUGAGCCUAGGUCGGAUUAGCCGUGUGGUGGGGUAAAGGCCUACCAAGGCCACUAUCCGUAACUGGUCUGAGAGGAUGGUCAGUCACACUGGAAGGGAGAACGGGCACAGAGUCAAACGGGAGGAAGAAGUGGGGAAUAUUGAGAAAGGGGUGAAAGAUUGAUCAAGACAGGGCGAGUGUGUGAAGAAGGUCUUCGGGUUGUAAAGCAAUUUAAGUUGGGAGGAAGGGAAGUAAGUUAAGACAGAGCUGUUUGAAGGUUACCAAAAGAAUAAGCACCGGCUAACUUCGU